rnacentral:lncRNA from 1 species
UUGACAGUAAUGAUGUGUAUCAGUUUUUCUUUCUGCCUUCCUAAUAUAAAUUAAUUUUCAUUUAAAUUGUUUAUAUUUGAACUUGAUAGUAUUUUUCUUAUACACUAUCUUAAAAGUUUUUUAAAAUAUUUACUAUAGAAAAAAUACUUUUUGUUAGGAAGGUAGAAAGAAAAACUUAUACACAUCAUUACUAUAUAUAAAUAUGCAUGUUUGUUUAAAUCUUGUAUAUGUUAUUAUAUUUGGACACCAAGUAAGCCAUUUCAUCCCAAAAACUAAUCAGAAUUUUUUUUUUUUUUUUUUUUGAGAAAAGGCCUUAAUCAGAAUUUACAAUAUAAAUGAUAUUGUUAAUGUUCAAAACAUGGUUUUACAUUGAAUUUGCUAUAUAUGGUUUAUUUUUUAUAUAUUAAUAAUUUUGCUAUAUCUUAUUAUUGAUAUUAUUAUUAUUAAUUAUAUAUCUCAUUAUAAUUGUAUUUAAAAUAAAUUAGUUAUAUAUAAUAUGAUUUAAUCCAAUUUCAGUAAGCGUACGUUAGUUUGAAUCUAUGUGUUUCAAUCUGUCAUUAUUAACAUGGACUCGUAUUCGAUCUUCUGGCAAGUCUACUUUUAUCCUGCACUAUGUGUCUGUAUUUCAAUUUACUCUGAGCUUGAUUACAUAGGAA